UUAAGUUCAGCGGGUAUCCCUGCCUGAUCCGAGGUCAAACUGUAGUAAAAACUAUGCGGUAAACAAGACCCAGCAGCUUUUAAAGCGAAAAUGUUUUACUGCUACGCUCUAAGCUGGGGAAUUGUUGCCGUCUACAUUUAAAGCACGUUAAAAUUUUCAUAACGAUGCCCAAUACCAAGUUAAACUUGAGUGGUAGAAAU
rnacentral:misc_RNA from 1 species